AUUAAAAAAGUUUGGGAUUUCCAAUUUCAUUUUUUUUCUGAAGUUGCUUUUUUGAGCGGCGGGUUUGUUAAAGCUGCACUCUCACAGAUAUACCAUUUUUACAGCUUUUUUUAUUUUUUGUCUUGGAAAGGCCAAAUUUGUGCAUAACUGUCUGCAAACUAGUGAUUUAAGAUUGCUGACAAAAAAUCAGAUGGUGGAUUUUCAUAUUUACGUUCGAAAUUAAUGUUUUAUGGCCUAAACCAUUACUAACUGUUUAAGAAAAAUGCACAAAACAUCAUUUUUUUUUUCUUAAAUGUAAAAAUCUGCGAUCUUUUUUUUGUCAGCAGUCUUAUAUAAAUGGUUUCCAUGGAUUUUCGCAACAAUUGGUUGGUUCCAAGACAAAAAAUAAAAAUGUUGUCAAAACGUUCAAUCUGUGAGAGUGCAGCUUUAAAUGAACAAUAAAAAACAGUAACCAAAUUAAUAACAUUACUUUUAAAAUCAAUAAAAUGUCUGCUGAAAGUGAGUCUAAGUAUGGUUUUUUAGAUAAAUAAUAGAAUAUAAUUUUAUCUAUGUUGUUUAUUUUUGGUAAUGAUAUUUCAUGUUUUCUAAGACCCUGCCCUCAUUUGCCUGUCGUUAUACACUGUGUUUCCUGGGAAUGCUGUAUCUAAAAGGGAGAUGUUUCUCAACUGCAUUAUUACUGAAUUAUGUGAUGUGUUUGUUUAUUUCAGGCAACUCUGAUGUUCACAAUGGUCCAGCUCAUUAUUAUGAGGACAUUGCCCCAAUUUCCAACAUUGGCAUCUCUGAUGUUCACAAUGGUCCAGCCCAUUAUUAUGAGGACAUUGCCUCGAGUUCCAACAUUGGAGUUAAGCACCAUCCAAGGAAGUGAAAAAGAACACCUUGAAGCCAAACCCCCCUGUGGAAACUGGUAUACAGAAGUGCUUCAGGUUACAGAAACGCCAUUCCAAGUUGGAUUAAGAGACUGUUAUCAAGCAAAACAAAUGUUUACAUAGAAGGUCUUUGACAGUGGUAAAAGGUUUCAUUAAGACUAAACUAUCAGCACAGGAUCGACAGCUACAGCAACGCUGAAUAAUUAUCACCAGUGUUGUGGUUUGUGUCAUAGUUUUGUUAAAGUAAGGAAUCAGUCUUUAUGUGAAGUGUCUAGGCCGCAUAUUUCAAAAUUCAGCUUUUGAGAUUUUUGUGUAACAAACACCAUAUUUUACAACACAGAUGUAUAACUUUAAGUAUUGAUCAUGAAACAUAUGUGAAUAUAUAGAAAGAGUAGUCAAAUAAAAUGACAUCAUCUAAUCCUUUUUAUUUUGGGUGUGUAAUGUGAAAAUGGCAUGUACUUAAAUAAAUGAACAUAUUCUUAAAAUAGGCAUUUUUAAUCAUAUGUCAACUAAAUAAUAAUAAUGUAUCGUUUAUUUGACCAAGGUAUAAUGUAGUUGAAAUUUCUUUUUUAUAUUUUUAUAUGCAAUUAUCUGCACUAGUCACUGUAAUAUUUGGUUUGAUGAAUUACAUGUAUCAUGAUGUAGAAAUAAAGGAUAAUUGUUUGUU